rnacentral:lncRNA from 1 species
GGGACUUAGUCAUAACCAGCAAUAACAACAAUAAAAUGCUCUGGGUCUUCCUGUCCAGCAGGCUCUGCUUGCUGCAACUCGGAGCAAUCCUAGGAAGAGGUUCCUCUCACCCCUUCCCAUCCCCCACACGAGGAAACAGGCUGGGGAAGGCCAGUGCUGCUCCAGAGCCCACAGAUGAGGUAGCUAGAGGCAGGAUGGAAAUGCAAGCCUCUUGUUCCCUGAGCUCGGGCCCCAGGGUCAGCCUUUGGGUGUGCGGCAUGGGGAGAAAGGCACACACACGAAUAGGCUUGCUGCUUUUUCAAAACCUCACUCCAGUUGCCACAUGGGACACCAGCAGAAGAGAAAAGUGAGGCAGCUGUGAGGACUUCUGCUGAGCCUCUGCUCCCCCGAAGCUGUGACACACAUGCACUCCUGUGGCCACACACACACACACACACACACACACACACACACACACACACACACACAAAGUAGGGGAAUCUGUCUGCAUCCCUGAGAUUCUGAACCAUCCUGCCUAGGCUGAAACGUGAGUUCUGGGGUAAAAAAGCAAAUCCCCUGGGGCCUGGACCUGUGCACACUGGUUUUGAGGUCCUGUCACUGCCUGGUCUGGUUUGAGCAGUUCCUCUCUCUGUCACCGGGGGGCAGCACCAAGAAGUUCCUUGGAGGGCAGCGAGGACCUGAGCUCAAAAGCAGGUGCGCGCCUCCCAGAGCCUCUGCUCGACUCGGGUGUGCUUACCUGCGGGAGUGGACAGGAGUGGUAUGUCCCACCCAGUCCUUCAGUGGAAGAAACAGGACCUGGUGGGUCUGUGAGGCGCCUGGCAGCGAAGCAGCCCACAGUUUUCUUAACCAGAUAUCUGUCUCACCCCUCCCUCUGACGGAUGAAGACUUGAGGCUUCCAGGGGACAAGAGGCUACUCUCAGAGCCAAGAUGCUUCAGACACCAUUGGAAUCAGAACCGGGAGAGUCUGGCUGGAGGGGAGAGCUGGAGUCUCCCGCCCUGCAAAGGAAGGAACACAGAGCUAUGUACACAGAGCCUGCCAGAUGUUUCACAGGGAUCCUUGCCAAGGCUCAAGGAGGGCUGGCUGCUUUUUCCCUCUAUGCGAAGAUACCAAGUCAGAUGACAGUCACUGACCUUCAGGAGGAGACUGUACAUCUGCUUCAUCACCACCCCACACCCUAUUCUGCCAUCCUGACUCAACAUGGCUUAACUGAUGAGCAGAACCUGUGGACACAACAGGACUUCAUGGAGACUGUCAAAAGUGGACUGGUCCAGAGGCCCAUUCUGGGCAUGUUUCUGCUCUUGGUCCUUACUCUGUUGAAAGGUAAACUGGGGUGACAGCCAUGCAGACCUGGGUUCCUGGCUCCCACCUUGUCAUCUGCUCCUGUGAGAGUCUGGCUAGGAGAGACAGUGCCUGUCCUGAGAGUGUGCUGACAAUAAAGUGAGCUGUCAGGUAUGAGUGGAGUGGCACACACAGCUGCUAGCUUAGUCAUAAUUUGACUUUGCCCUCAGCUGGCAGGGGAGGCCCAGAUUCUCACUAUGACAGCUCACUGGGGCCCCACUGCAGAACUGUGGGACCUCUGGCUUCUGGGUUUGUCCUGAGUGAGUGCAGACAAAGCACUCCAUGGCUCUUGUGAGCUUCUGUGAGCCUUCCACUCAGCCACUCCCAUGGGCAGCAGGCCUCAGCAGCAGCAGUUAAGAAUGAGGGUGGAGCCUCAAGGUCCCAAGUUCUGGAACCACUGUUUGUUUGUUAUGUGACUUAAUUUUGCUGAACCUUAGAUUUCUCCUUUGUUACCAUACUCCAUUCUUAGACACCAGGCCUCUCAUUAGCCCUGAACACUCAGCUUUCCCAAGAGGCCAUCUUAUGGCCAAUGAGACCCUACAGGCCCUCCCUGUCUCAGCUCUUAUUCUCAGACCUUCCCUACCCGCUUCCCCAUCUGGGACUCUCCUCCUCUGCUGGGAGCCAGGCUUCCUGUCUAUGCUGUGACAACUCCCUGUUCCUGGCAGAUGUGGAGGUGUACAUAGCAGAUGUGAGGGUGCAGGGCAGACAGGUUCUUGGGGAGACCAGGGCUAAUGGAAGAGGACCCAAGGGGCACCAGACACUUUUUACUCUGACAGUAAUUAGAGAGGGCCUCCCCUACUUUGUUAUGCUGCCCAGUCUCUCCUAGAUCCCAAGGGGCCCUUUGAGUUACUUGGUACUAGAGGACACCAGCCUCCAAGGGGCAGAGCUAGCUAGGUUAGCAUUUUAGUUUACUUUCUAUUGCUGUGAUAAACACCACAAACCACAAGCAACUUGAGGAGGGAAGGGUAUAUUUCAGCUUAUAGCUAUAGUCUAUCAUGAAGGAUCCAAAUCAGGACAGGAAUGCAAAGUAGGAACAGUAGCAGAGACCAUGGCAGAGUGCUGCUUAUUGGCUUGUUCUCCACUGAUUUCUCAGUUUGCUUUCCUAUACCACCCAGGACCACCAGCCUAUGGUGGAGCUACUCCCAGUGUGCUGGGCCCUCCCACAUCUAUCAAUAAAGAAAAUGCUGUUGAAACUUGCCUCCAGGAAAUCUUAUAGAGGCAUUUUCUCAACUGAAGUUCCUUUUCCCAGAUAUCUCUAGUAUAGAUUGACAAAAACAAAACAAAACAAAAAAGCAAACAAAAAUCAAAAAACAAAAACAAAACAAACGAACAAACAGGACAGUCAGAUACUUUCCUCAGCCAUCAUCACUAUCACCACUAUCAUCACCAUCAUCACCAUUGCAGUGUUAGCUUGGCCAUAUGGGGAAACGAAGGAGGAACCCAGAGCAGGAAUUGUAGCCUAUGAGGUAUACAUGAAGGAUGCGUUUGGAGACAGCUACUGUCUCCCAGCUGCCCUCAGACUUCCAGGAGGUGAGGGAAAGCAGCUCCCAUGAGAGUCCUUCCUGCUGGUCUCAAGGCCUAGCUGUCCCAAGCUGGAAUUUUGGCUCUCCUGGCAGGCCUUGCUUCAACCAAGCCAGGGAGCAAUGCCAGGAAGAUAAUAGCCCACAAUUAGUUGCCAAAUGUCCAAGGGCCCCCACGCUUGACAGGGGAGCUGUCACAUACAGCCUGUGGGGAAAUUUGCAUGUGCUCAGCUAGGAAGUGAAGGGCUGUCCUGAAUGAAGCCAGCUUUCUGGGCCAAGCUCAGCUGCAAGCUUCACUCUGCUCUUUGUGGUAGAAGGGAGCUUAAGCCAGGAGCGAAGAGAGCAAAGCAGGGCAGGAGGAAGGAAAGGACGGAGCCU